CAGACUGACAGGCUGGAUGUGAGAUCUGGCAGGCGUAGAUUAUGAUACUCAUUUCUAACACGCUGUAAACAUGGCUGUUAGUAACACUACACUGUUUACACCCCGGUGUGUUUGGCCUACUUUAAUCCUAUUGUGGAUCCUGCUGUGGGAAGCCGGCUGUGACACUCAAUACCAAGCAGAGGAGGUGGAGAUUUUCCAUUCUGAUAAACAGAAAUCAUUGGAAUGGAAAUCUGAGCCAAACGAAGAGUGGACUUCAAUUAACCUUAGAUUGGAUUCUUCCAAUCCAGUCCCUGUGCUUCAAGCUUGUGCAAGGCGCAUGACAAGAACUGUUUUAAGCCCGUGGAUGAAGCGGAAAGAUGCCCACUACAUACUGAUGGAUGUUUCCUUAGCCCAAGAACAACAGCCGUCUGAACAGCUGAGCCCACUACAAGUUCACUUUUUUGACAAAAACACACCAAUGACAAUGUUUCAAAAUAGUUUGACCGUCCUGAAUCUUAACACCUCCAGGCCUUUCCCUGUCGAAGCAGUCCUGACGUCCGGGCACUUUGAGCGCAGACUGGCUCUGGGCCUGGGCCCCGUCAGACAGACAGGCUUCCAGCUGGCCUUCUCCUACUCUGGAACAUGUGUGCUGCUGACAUCCAUCAGACUGUACUACAGGAGGUGCCCUGACAUCGUUAGUAACCUGGCCUUGUUUGAAGGGACGGGGGCCGCGUCGGGUGCCCUGAGGGGCUCCUGUGUGAACGGAGCUGUGGAGGUUUCUCCUCCUGUUAGAGAGUGUGAGGCGGAUGGAGAAUGGGGUCCAGAGCAUGGAGGAUGUACCUGUAAUCCCGGCCAUCAAGUCAUGGAUGACACAUGUCAAACUUGUGAUAUGGGCUACUACAAACCAGCCAAUGAGAGUGGAGUAUGCCGGCCAUGCCCACAGAAUAGCAAAACAUAUGGGAAGGGAUCUGAGAGGUGUGUUUGUCUGCAGGGUUACACCCGCCUACCAACGGACCCUGAAGACCUCGGCUGCACUAAGCCGCCCUCUGCUCCGGUGAAUCUCACAGCCCGUCACCAUAAUGACUCCGUGCUGAUGGUGACGUGGGAUCCUCCUCAUGACCGUGGAGGCAGACAGGAAGUGAUGUAUGGCAUCAAGUGUGAGAAGGAAGUGGAGUCCAGCCGUCAGUGGCAGGCGUGUGGCGAUACUGUGGUUUUCCUGCCUGACUCAGCAGGGCUGACCAACACAUCAGUCACUGUCACCGAGCUGAGCCCCCAGCACGGAUACAGGCUCUCAGUGCAGGCCUGGAACGAUGCAUCCACCCUGGGGAGGGCUCCACCUUCAUCCACUGCCACCGUCACAAUCCACAGAUGGAAGGUUCCUCCUGUGGUGAGCACACAGACGCCGGGCUUAAACUUCUCAGAGCUGGCAGUAGUUCCAACAGCUUCUAAGUCCCAGAGUCGCACCUCCAUGUGGCUGACAAUUGGUAUUUUAUUUGCCAUCCUGCUGCUCAUGGCUCUAAUCCCCAUUGUUGUGUGUGUCCUGCGCAGCAACUACACUAAACUCAGGUCUGACCAGGGUGUGGAGCUUCUGCCAUUGAACGCUGGAGUUUCCUACAGACUUCAACAGGAGGAGGAAGCUGUACCUCAGCCGGCCAGCAUUUCUGUGGUGGGGGGGGGUGGUCCAGAUGUUGGAGGCGCUCGGCGGCAGCAUGCUGGACAGUCUGAAGGAAGUCCUGGUGGAGAGGGAAACACUCACCCUGGGGAAGGAGCUCGGCAAAGGAGAGUAUGGAUCAGUCUAUGAAGGGGUCUUCUCACCAGAGGAAGGAGGGGACAUGAAGGUGGCUGUGAAGACCAUGAGAGUUGGAAUCCACAGCCAGGAGGACUUGUAUGACUUUCUGAGAGAGGCAGAGAUCAUGAAGACCUUUGAUCACGAGAAUGUGGUCAGACUCCUGG